GAUGAAGAACGCAGCGAACUGCGAUAAGUAAUGUGAAUUGCAGAAUUCAGUGAAUCAUCGAGUCUUUGAACGCACAUUGCGCCCCCUGGCAUUCCGGGGGGCAUGCCUGUCCGAGCGUCAUUGCUGUCCUUCAAGCCCGGCUUGUGCGUUGGGUCGUCGUCCCCCCCGGGGGACGGGCCCGAAAGGCAGCGGCGGCACCGCGUCCGGUCCUCGAGCGUAUGGGGCUUUGUCACCCGCUCGAUUAGGGCCGGCCGGGCGCCAGCCGGCGUCUCCAACCUUCUAUUUUACCAGGUUGACCUCGGAUCAGGUAGGGAUACCCGCUGAACUUAAGCAUAUCAAUAAGCGGAGGA
rnacentral:misc_RNA from 1 species